AGUGAACGCUGGCGGUAGGCCUAACACAUGCAAGUCGAACGGCAGCACAGUAAGAGCUUGCUCUUACGGGUGGCGAGUGGCGGACGGGUGAGGAAUACAUCGGAAUCUACUUUUUCGUGGGGGAUAACGUAGGGAAACUUACGCUAAUAACGCAUACGACCUACGGGUGAAAGCCGGGGAUCUUCGGACCUUGCGCGAUUGAAUGAGCCGAUGUCGCAUUAGCUAGUCGGCGGGGUAAAGGCCCACCAAGGCGACGAUCCGUAGCUGGUCUGAGAGGAUGAUCAGCCACACUGGAACUUAGACACGGUGCAGACUCCUACGGGAGGCAGCAGUGGGGAAUAUUGGACAAUGGGCGCAAGCCUGAGCCAGCCAUACCGCGUGGGUGAAGAAGGCCUUCGGGUUCUAAAGCCCUUUUGUUGGGAAAGUAAAGCAGCAGGUUGAUACCCCGCUGUUCUGACGGUACCCAAAGAAUAGGCACCGGCUAACUUCGUG
rnacentral:rRNA from 1 species